GACGGGGAGCACCACAACAGGUGGAGCCUGCGGUUUAAUCGGACUCAACGCCGGGAAGCUCACCGGAUAAGACAGCGGAAUGAUAGCCGGGCUGAAGACUCUGCUUGACUAGCUGAGAGGAGGUGCACGGCCGUCGUCAGUUCGUACUGUGAAGCAUCCUGUUAAGUCAGGCAACGAGCGAGACCCACGCCAACAGUUGCCAGCUCGUCCUCCGGGAUGGUGGGGACACUGUUGGGACCGCCUCUGCUAAAGAGGAGGAAGGAAUGGGCAACGGUAGGUCAGCAUGCCCCGAAUUAUCUGGGCUACACGCGGGCUACAAUGGGUGGGACAAUGGGUAUCGACACCGAAAGGUGAAGGCAAUCUCCUAAACCCAUCCGUAGUUCGGAUUGUGGGCUGCAACUCGCCCACAUGAAGCUGGAAUCUGUAGUAAUCGUGUCUCAAAAUGGCACGGUGAAUAUGUCCCUGCUCCUU
rnacentral:rRNA from 1 species